rnacentral:rRNA from 1 species
UUAAGCGACUAAGCGUACACGGUGGAUGCCCUGGCAGUCAGAGGCGAUGAAGGACGUGCUAAUCUGCGAAAAGCGUCGGUAAGGUGAUAUGAACCGUUAUAGCCGGCGAUGUCCGAAUGGGGAAACCCAGUGUGAUUCGUCACACUAUCGUUAACUGAAUACAUAGGUUAACGAGGCGAACCGGGGGAACUGAAACAUCUAAGUACCCCGAGGAAAAGAAAUCAACCGAGAUUCCCCCAGUAGCGGCGAGCGAACGGGGAGCAGCCCAGAGUCUGAAUCAGCUUGUGUGUUAGUGGAACGGUCUGGAAAGUCCGACGGUACAGGGUGAUAGUCCCGUACACCAAAAUGCACAGGUUGUGAACUCGAAGAGUAGGGCGGGACACGUGGUAUCCUGUCUGAAUAUGGGGGGACCAUCCUCCAAGGCUAAAUACUCCUGACUGACCGAUAGUGAACCAGUACCGUGAGGGAAAGGCGAAAAGAACCCCGGCGAGGGGAGUGAAAAAGAACCUGAAACCGUGUACGUACAAGCAGUGGGAGCACCUUCGGGUGUGACUGCGUACCUUUUGUAUAAUGGGUCAGCGACUUAUAUUCUGUAGCAAGGUUAACCGUAUAGGGGAGCCGCAGGGAAACCGAGUCUUAACUGGGCGUUAAGUUGCAGGGUAUAGACCCGAAACCCGGUGAUCUAGCCAUGGGCAGGUUGAAGGUUGGGUAACACUAACUGGAGGACCGAACCGACUAAUGUUGAAAAAUUAGCGGAUGACUUGUGGCUGGGGGUGAAAGGCCAAUCAAACCGGGAGAUAGCUGGUUCUCCCCGAAAGCUAUUUAGGUAGCGCCUCGUGAACUCAUCUUCGGGGGUAGAGCACUGUUUCGGCUAGGGGGUCAUCCCGACUUACCAACCCGAUGCAAACUACGAAUACCGAAGAAUGUUAUCACGGGAGACACACGGCGGGUGCUAACGUCCGUCGUGAAGAGGGAAACAACCCAGACCGCCAGCUAAGGUCCCAAAGUCAUGGUUAAGUGGGAAACGAUGUGGGAAGGCACAGACAGCCAGGAUGUUGGCUUAGAAGCAGCCAUCAUUUAAAGAAAGCGUAAUAGCUCACUGGUCGAGUCGGCCUGCGCGGAAGAUGUAACGGGGCUAAACCAUGCACCGAAGCUGCGGCAGCGACGCUUAUGUGUUGUUGGGUAGGGGAGCGUUCUGUAAGCCUGCGAAGGUGACCUGUGAGGGUUGCUGGAGGUAUCAGAAGUGCGAAUGCUGACAUAAGUAACGAUAAAGCGGGUGAAAAGCCCGCUCGCCGGAAGACCAAGGGUUCCUGUCCAACGUUAAUCGGGGCAGGGUGAGUCGACCCCUAAGGCGAGGCCGAAAGGCGUAGUCGAUGGGAAACAGGUUAAUAUUCCUGUACUUGGUGUUACUGCGAAGGGGGGACGGAGAAGGCUAUGUUAGCCGGGCGACGGUUGUCCCGGUUUAAGCAUGUAGGCUGGUUAUCCAGGCAAAUCCGGAUAAUCAAGGCUGAGGUGUGAUGACGAAGCACUACGGUGCUGAAGUAACAAAUGCCCUGCUUCCAGGAAAAGCCUCUAAGCAUCAGGUAACACGAAAUCGUACCCCAAACCGACACAGGUGGUCAGGUAGAGAAUACCAAGGCGCUUGAGAGAACUCGGGUGAAGGAACUAGGCAAAAUGGUGCCGUAACUUCGGGAGAAGGCACGCUGGUGUGUAGGUGAAGCCCCUGCGGGUGGAGCUGAGACCAGUCGAAGAUACCAGCUGGCUGCAACUGUUUAUUAAAAACACAGCACUGUGCAAACACGAAAGUGGACGUAUACGGUGUGACGCCUGCCCGGUGCCGGAAGGUUAAUUGAUGGGGUUAUCCGUAAGGAGAAGCUCUUGAUCGAAGCCCCGGUAAACGGCGGCCGUAACUAUAACGGUCCUAAGGUAGCGAAAUUCCUUGUCGGGUAAGUUCCGACCUGCACGAAUGGCGUAAUGAUGGCCAGGCUGUCUCCACCCGAGACUCAGUGAAAUUGAACUCGCUGUGAAGAUGCAGUGUACCCGCGGCAAGACGGAAAGACCCCGUGAACCUUUACUAUAGCUUGACACUGAACAUUGAGCCUUGAUGUGUAGGAUAGGUGGGAGGCUUUGAAGCGUGGACGCCAGUCUGCGUGGAGCCAACCUUGAAAUACCACCCUUUAAUGUUUGAUGUUCUAACGUUGGCCCCUUACCGGGGUUGCGGACAGUGUCUGGUGGGUAGUUUGACUGGGGCGGUCUCCUCCCAAAGCGUAACGGAGGAGCACGAAGGUUAGCUAAUCCUGGUCGGACAUCAGGAGGUUAGUGCAAUGGCAUAAGCUAGCUUGACUGCGAGCGUGACGGCGCGAGCAGGUGCGAAAGCAGGUCAUAGUGAUCCGGUGGUUCUGAAUGGAAGGGCCAUCGCUCAACGGAUAAAAGGUACUCCGGGGAUAACAGGCUGAUACCGCCCAAGAGUUCAUAUCGACGGCGGUGUUUGGCACCUCGAUGUCGGCUCAUCACAUCCUGGGGCUGAAGUAGGUCCCAAGGGUAUGGCUGUUCGCCAUUUAAAGUGGUACGCGAGCUGGGUUUAGAACGUCGUGAGACAGUUCGGUCCCUAUCUGCCGUGGGCGCUGGAGAAUUGAGGGGGGCUGCUCCUAGUACGAGAGGACCGGAGUGGACGCAUCACUGGUGUUCGGGUUGUCAUGCCAAUGGCACUGCCCGGUAGCUAAAUGCGGAAGAGAUAAGUGCUGAAAGCAUCUAAGCACGAAACUUGCCCCGAGAUGAGUUCUCCCUGAGACUUUAAGUCUCCUGAAGGAACGUUAAAGACGAUGACGUUGAUAGGCCGGGUGUGUAAGCGCAGCGAUGCGUUGAGCUAACCGGUACUAAUGAACCGUGAGGCUUAACCUU